rnacentral:lncRNA from 1 species
CAUCACGAGGACGGUGAUCGAUCCGAUCAGUGCACAGAUCGCUUUCCUUAUGGAUGGACGAGACUCGAGUCCAUAGUGUAGGGACACUGAAGUGAGAGUGCAGGUGCUUGUUAGAGAACAAGGGUACUGAGCGUGACCAAGACAAGAAGUCACUUGGAUAUCUAUCCACUCGUCAGUGACUUACUUGAUGUUGCAGUAGUGUGACUGGUCCUUUNNNNNNNNNNNNNNNNNNNNNNNNNNNNNNNNNNNUUGUAGUUUGACUGCACAUAUACAUAGUCUCUAGUCAUAUGGGUUCUUGUUGUGUAGAUUGGCUGCAGUAGGUUCACUAUAGGAGUAGGGUAUGCACUUACAUGGAAUCUAUCGACCUUGAUAGAAGAGGAGUGAUCCUAUGUGAUUUAUUAGACAGAGUUCUAAGACCUUGGCCAGGGCAAUAAUAUACAGUGGAGAAAGAGUUUUCCACUAUCGAACUCAAGUCGAAUAAAUCUAGACAUAUGACAGACGACGGGAUUUGACGAGUUAUCCAUGACCUCCGGUCUGUAGGGAUCCACGAUAGAAGGACUGUAUCAUACGAUAACUGCACCUAGAGGUUCAUUAUUCUAUUCUGCUGGAUGGCCACUACAUACUGCUAGGUGUCACUGGUGGAUGGUGAGACUCACAGGGAUCAUCUUGAUGGUCGAUAAACCCUGAUGAGUUGAGUUGAAAUUGUUUCAACCCAUUGAAAGGAGUUUUCAAUGAUAUUGUGAUAG